GGGGCAUGUGUGUACUAUGGACACAUUCUGGUUAAUUAUGCUAUAACGCACGGUCCAACCUCCUGCCGUCAUUGAACUUUUUCCAGGAAUAGGCCUGAAUCAAAUUCUACAGAAACUGGAUUCUUUUGCCAAGACAAAAGCAAUAUUCUUCAAAAUUUUUCUGGUUUUUGGUUGUCAUAUUUCAAAGCAAGACUGGUACCAUCACUUACCACACUCCCUCCUAGGUAUACUCC
rnacentral:lncRNA from 1 species